rnacentral:rRNA from 1 species
GUCUAGAAGCUUCGACAAUGGGGGCAACCCUGAUCGAGCGACGCCGCGUGCAGGAUGAAGAUCUUCGGAUCGUAAACUGCUUUCGCUGGGGGAGAAAGGCAUCUCGGUGAAUAGCUGAGGUGUCCGACGGUACCCAGUAAAGAAGCCCCGGCUAAGUCCGUGCCAGCAGCCGCGGUAAUACGGGCGGGGCGAGCGUUGUUCGGAUUUAUUGGGUGUAAAGGGUGCGCAGGCGGUCGACUAAGUCGAAGGUGAAAUUUCUACGGCUCAACCGAGGAACUGCCUCCGAUACUGGACGACUUGAGUGCGGAAGGGGAGCGUGGAAUUCCUGGUGUAGCGGUGAAAUGCGUAGAUAUCAGGAGGAACACCCGUGGCGAAGGCGACGCUCUGGUCCGUAACUGACGCUCAUGCACGAAAGCCAGGGGAGCGAACGGGAUUAGAUACCCGAGUAGUCC